UACUCCUUUCUUCCGGGAGGGGGCAAAUUCUAUACGGUUGGACUUGCAGCCGCGUGUUGGGCAAUCUGGCUGGCCCGAAAUAAGGCUACGUUUGAGAAAAAGCAAAUCAAGUCUCCUUUUGAAAUCGUGUUUUCCAUGUGUUCUUUUCUUUUGUACUGGACAAGACUGCAGAAAGGUGAUGACGCCGACAAGCUUCGCUCAUGUGCUGAGAAGAUCAGGGCCAGCACGAUGCAACUGAUGAGGCUUUGCGGGGCUGCCGCCCAGCCGAUCGGAGGAGUGUGA
rnacentral:rRNA from 1 species